AAAAUCAGGCCGCCCGAUCAUGGCGUUGCUUGAUCUUCUGGGGCGGCGGUGGACGCUGAGAAUUGUCUGGGAGAUGCGCGAUCAGGCGCUGACCUCGCGCGAAUUGCGCGCGGCGUGUGACGAUGCGUCNNNNNNNGCCGAACUGCGCGAAGCAAGUUUCGUCGAGAAGCUCGAUGCGGGCGGUUAUCGCCUGACAGGUCUGGGCAAAGAACUGCUGGGCACGUUUAUGCCGCUGCACCAUUUCGCCGA
rnacentral:misc_RNA from 1 species